rnacentral:lncRNA from 1 species
UUCAGAUCUCAAUCUCAUCUCACACCUGCUCUCUCUCUCUCUCUCUCUCUUCAACCUUGGUGAUACGGCUACUACUCAGAAGGAUCUUACGUCUGUUACUACCGUCAAUGUGUGGUGGUGGUUCUGCGACUCGGCAAUGAAAACGGAUGAAGAAACGAUUUUUGUUGUAGAUGAAGACACGAGCCAAUGAGGUUACACGACUAAGGAAUAU